rnacentral:sRNA from 1 species
UCGCUGACGCGCGUCGAUCCAGCGCUGGC